ACUAGUGAUUAGGGUUCGAUUAUGGCUCAGGAUGAACGCUAGCGGCAGGCUUAACACAUGCAAGUCGAGGGGUAACAGGGUGCUUGCACCGCUGACGACCGGCGCACGGGUGCGUAACGCGUAUACAAUCUACCUUGUACUAGGGGAUAGCCUUUAGAAAUGAAGAUUAAUACCCUAUAGUCUAUUUGAAUGGCAUCAUUUAAAUAGUAAAGGUUACGGUACAAGAUGAGUAUGCGUCCUAUUAGUUUGUUGGUAAGGUAACGGCUUACCAAGACUACGAUAGGUAGGGGCCCUGAGAGGGGGAUCCCCCACACUGGUACUGAGACACGGACCAGACUCCUACGGGAGGCAGCAGUGAGGAAUAUUGGACAAUGGGCGAGAGCCUGAUCCAGCCAUGCCGCGUGCAGGAAGACGGCCCUAUGGGUUGUAAACUGCUUUUAUACAGGAAGAAACACUCCCUCGUGAGGGAGCUUGACGGUACUGUAAGAAUAAGGACCGGCUAACUCCGUGC
rnacentral:rRNA from 1 species